GACGAACGCUGGCGGCGUGCCUAAUACAUGCAAGUUGAGCGCUGAAGGUUGGUACUUGUACCAACUGGAUGAGCAGCGAACGGGUGAGUAACGCGUGGGGAAUCUGCCUUUGAGCGGGGGACAACAUUUGGAAACGAAUGCUAAUACCGCAUAAAAACUUUAAACACAAGUUUUAAGUUUGAAAGAUGCAAUUGCAUCACUCAAAGAUGAUCCCGCGUUGUAUUAGCUAGUUGGUGAGGUAAAGGCUCACCAAGGCGAUGAUACAUAGCCGACCUGAGAGGGUGAUCGGCCACAUUGGGACUGAGACACGGCCCAAAAUCCUACGGGAGGCAGCAGUAGGGAAUCUUCGGCAAUGGACGAAAGUCUGACCGAGCAACGCCGCGCGAGUGAAGAAGGUUUUCGGAUCGUAAAACUCUGUUGGUAGAGAAGAACGUUGGUGAGAGUGGAAAGCUCAUCAAGUGACGGUAACUACCCAGAAAGGGACGGCUAACUACGUG
rnacentral:rRNA from 1 species